CCUACGGGGGGCAGCAGUAGGGAAUCUUCCACAAUGGACGAAAGUCUGAUGGAGCAACGCCGCGUGAGUGAAGAAGGGUUUCGGCUCGUAAAGCUCUGUUGGUAGUGAAGAAAGAUAGAGGUAGUAACUGGCCUUUAUUUGACGGUACUUACUUAGAAAGUCCCGGCUAACUACGUGCCAGCAGCCGCGGUAAUACGUAGGUGGCAAGCGUUGACCGGAUUUAUUGGGCGUAAAGCGAGUGCAGGCGGUUCAAUAAGUCUGAUGUGAAAGCCUUCGGCUCAACCGGAGAAUUGCAUCAGAAACUGGUGAGCUAGAGUGCAGAAGAGGAGAGUGGAACUCCAUGUGUAGCGGUGGAAUGCGUAGAGAUGUGGAAGAACACCAGUGGCGAAGGCGGCUCCCUGGACUGAAACUGACGCUGAGGCUCGAAAGCAUGGGGAGCGAACAGGAUUAGAUACCCUAGUAGUC
rnacentral:rRNA from 1 species